rnacentral:ncRNA from 1 species
AAAGUCAAUCCCAAUCGCUAUAAACGACCAGAGCCCUAAUGUACUAGUCUAUAAGACUAGGUACAAUGGAACAUACUACGUUCAACCAUCAUUUGAUGUUCAAGAGAGUGAAGGAUAUGGGUCUCCUACAAAAUAAGGAGUACGAAUAUGUAGGUAGCGAUUUUU